CUACGCACUCCUACGGGAGGCAGCAGUGGGGAAUAUUGCACAAUGGGCGCAAGCCUGAUGCAGCCAUGCCGCGUGUAUGAAGAAGGCCUUCGGGUUGUAAAGUACUUUCAGCAGUGAGGAAGGUGGGUAUGUUAAUAGCAUAUUCAUUUGACGUUAGCUGCAGAAGAAGCACCGGCUAACUCCGUGCCAGCAGCCGCGGUAAUACGGAGGGUGCGAGCGUUAAUCGGAAUUACUGGGCGUAAAGCGCAUGCAGGUGGUUUGUUAAGUCAGAUGUGAAAGCCCGGGGCUCAACCUACGGAAUUGCAUUUGAAACUGGCAAACUAGAGUACUGUAGAGGGGGUAGAAUUUCAGGUGUAGCGGUGAAAUGCGUAGAGAUCUGAAGGAAUACCGGUGGCGAAGGCGGCCCCCUGGACAGAUACUGACACUCAGAUGCGAAAGCGUGGGGAGCAAACAGGAUUAGAUACCCUGGUAG
rnacentral:rRNA from 1 species